GCUAAACAGCUAGCUUAAACACCGAGAUAACUAAAACAACAUUAAUAAUACUCACAAAACCACAACACAUUAAAAUUAAAACAUUCUACCGCCCAAGUAUGUGCGACAAAAAAGGCACUAAUGAGCAAUAAAAAAGUACCGCAAGGGAACGCUGAAAGAGAAAUGAAACAAAUCAUUAAAGCACAACAAAGCAGAGGUUAUCCCUCGUACCUUUCGCAUCAUGAUUUAGCUAGCCCCCUUGAGCAAAGCGCCCUUUAGUUCAAAGCCCCGAAACUAAGUGAGCUACCCCGAGACAGCCUAUUAAUUAGGGCCAACCCGUCUCUGUGGCAAAAGAGUGGGAAGAUCUCCGGGUAGGGGUGACAGACCUACCGAACUUAGUUAUAGCUGGUUGCCUAAGAAAUGAAUAAAAGUUCAGCCUCACACUCCUCAACUCACAAAUAUCUAUAAGUCACGAGCCAGAGAAACAUGCGAGAGUGAAUCAAAGGGGGUACAGCCCCUUUGAAACAGGAUACAACCUCCCCAGGAGGUUAAAGAUUAUAUUAAACAAGAUACUCCGCUCCAGUGGGCCUAAAAGCAGCCACCCGGACAGAAAGCGUCAAAGCUCCGGCGGAUUAAAAAUCUAUUAUUUAAAUACUAUAUCUUAAACCCCUAAGCAUAUUAGGCCAUUCCAUGCCCACAUGGAAGAGAUACUGCUAAAAUGAGUAAUAAGAAGGUACCUCCUUCUCCUAGCCCACGUGUAUGCUAGAUCGGACCCCCCACUAGCAAUUAUCGAACCCAACCAAAGAGGGCAACGUGAUUAUAUUAAAUAUCAAGAAAUUCUCACCCAUCCGUCAUCGUUAACCCCACACUGGAAGGCUAAAAAUUAAGGAAAGACUAAAAGAAAAGGAAGGAACUCGGCAAACACAAGCCUCGCCUGUUUACCAAAAACAUCGCCUCCUGCAAAAUCAACGUAUAGGAGGUCUUGCCUGCCCAGUGACAAGUUAAACGGCCGCGGUAUUUUGACCGUGCGAAGGUAGCGCAAUCACUUGUCUUUUAAAUAGAGACCUGUAUGAAUGGUGGAACGAGGGCUUAACUGUCUCCCCUUUCAAGUCAGUGAAAUUGAUCUGCCCGUGCAGAAGCGGGCAUACAUACUACAAGACGAGAAGACCCUUUGGAGCUUAAGGUACAAAAUCCACCCACGUCAAGAACCCAAAAAGCAAGAACUAAAUAGCACCUGAUCCCUAUCUUCAGUUGGGGCGACCGCGGGAGAAAACAAAGCUCCCAUGCGGACUGGGCUACAUUCCUAGAACCAAGAGAGACAUCUCUAAGCCACAGAAUAUCUGACCAAUAAGUGAUCCGGACUUCUAGACCGAUCAACGAACCAAGUUACCCUAGGGAUAACAGCGCAAUCCUCUCCCAGAGUCCAUAUCGACAAGGGGGUUUACGACCUCGAUGUUGGAUCAGGACAUCCUAAUGGUGCAGCCGCUAUUAAGGGUUCGUUUGUUCAACGAUUAAAGUCCUACGUGAUCUGAGUUCAGACCGGAGCAAUCCAGGUCAGUUUCUAUCUGUAAAGCUACUUUUCCUGGUACGAAAGGAUCGGAAAAGAGGGGCCCAUGCUCAAAGCAUGCCCCACCCCUAAUUGAUGAAAACAAAUAAA
rnacentral:rRNA from 1 species